rnacentral:rRNA from 1 species
UUAUGACGUUACCGGUAGAAGAAGCUCCGGCUAACUCCGUGCCAGCAGCCGCGGUAAUACUAAGGGGGCUAGCGUUGUUCGGAAUUACUGGGCGUAAAGUUCGCGUAGGCUACUGGGGCUAGUCAGGUGUGAAAGCUCUGGGCUCACCUAACUUCGGAAACUGCCCCCUAGACUGCUCCUCUGGAGUACGGUAGAAGUUGGUGGAAUUCCCGGUGUAGAAGUGAAAUGCGUAUAUAUUGGGAAGAACACAAUUGGCGAAGGUGGCGCCCUGGACCGUUACUGACGCUCAUGCCCCUAAAGCUUGGGUAGCAAUCAGGAUUAAAUACCCUGGUAGUCCACGCCCUAAACUAUCAUGGCUAGCUGUCGGCUA